rnacentral:rRNA from 1 species
GAUGAACGCUGGCGGCGUGCCUAAUACAUGCAAGUCGAGCGAAUGAUGAGGAGCUUGCUCCUCUGAUUUAGCGGCGGACGGGUGAGUAACACGUGGGUAAUCUGCCUGUAAGACGGGGAUAACUCCGGGAAACCGGGGCUAAUACCGGAUAACAAGAGAAGAAGCAUUUCUUCUUUUUGAAAGUCGGUUUUGCCUGACACUUACAGAUGAGCCCGCGGCGCAUUAGCUAGUUGGUGAGGUAACGGCUCACCAAGGCGACGAUGCGUAGCCGACCUGAGAGGGUGAUCGGCCACACUGGGACUGAGACACGGCCCAGACUCCUACGGGAGGCAGCAGUAGGGAAUCUUCGGCAAUGGGCGAAAGCCUGACCGAGCAACGCCGCGUGAGCGAUGAAGGCCUUCGGGUCGUAAAGCUCUGUUGUUAGAGAAGAACAAGUACGAGAGUAACUGCUCGUACCUUGACGGUACCCAACCAGAAAGCCACGGCUAACUACGUGCCAGCCGCCGCAGUAA